GUGAAGCAGCACCUCACUCUUAUUCCCUAACCUUACCUCUCUCACACUCGCUGGUUUACACCAACUCAAAAGAUUUUGCUCUGGAAGGUUUAGUUCAAGCUGGCCACUUCUGAAAAACUUGGAAGUGCUCGAUUGUGAUAAAGUGGAGAUACUCUUUCAACAAAUAAAUUUGGAAUCUGAACUUGAGCCACUCUUCUGGGUAGAACAGGAAGCAUUUCUUAAUUUGGAAGAACUAAGAUUGAGCUUAAAGGGCACUGUGGAGAUAUGGCGAGGCCAAUUUUCAAGGGUGUCUUUUUUGAAGUUAAGAUAUUUGAAGAUAGAAAAGUGUCGGGGUAUUUCGGUUGUGAUUCCCUCGAAUAUGGUUCAAAUACUACAUAAUCUAGAAGAACUAGAGGUGAAAAAGUGUGAUUCAGUGAAUGAGGUUAUCCAAGUAGAAAUAGUGGGAAAUGAUGGACAUGAACUAACAGAUAAUGAGAUUGAGUUCACCCAAUUAAAGAGCCUUGCACUUUAUCAAUUGCCAAAUCUGAAAAGCUUUUGCUCAUCAACAAGAUAUGUCUUCAAAUUCCCAUCCUUGGAAACAAUGAAAGUGGGAGAAUGUCGUGGGAUGGAAUUUUUCUACAAGGGAGUCUUAGAUGCACCAAGGCUAGAAAGUGUACAAAGUGAAUUUUGGGAAGAAUAUUGGCCGGAUGAUCUAAAUACCCCCAUUUUUAAACAGGGUCAUAAAGAGGAAGAUUCUGAAAAAUUGGAUUUUAUAAAGUUAGAUCGUUGAGAGGAUGAUUUUGAAGAAGACUGAUUUCAUUUUCCUUAUGUAAAACAAGGAAGAGGUGUUUGUUUUUUCUACAUAGUUUAUGUGAGUGAAACACUGCCUUCAAUUGCUUUUUUUUUUUUUUUUCUUUUGUGCAUGUAUAUUAUUACAUCUUAGAAGGGCCUUUGUUCUUAAUGUCCUUUUUUAGGUAUGUUGGACUUUUUAUUUUGAGGAGAUGCAUAGAUUAACAUUUGUGGUAGAGAAAUGUCUGCUAAUGAUGUUUCCUUUAUUUAAAUCGACUUUGGAAGGAUUUU